UACGAAGGGGGCUAGCGUUGCUCGGAAUCACUGGGCGUAAAGGGCGCGUAGGCGGCCGAUUAAGUCGGGGGUGGAAGCCUGUGGCUCAACCACAGAAUUGCCCUCGAUACUGGUUGGCUUGAGACCGGAAGAGGACAGCGGAACUGCGAGUGUAGAGGUGAAAUUCGUAGAUAUUCGCAAGAACACCAGUGGCGAAGGCGGCUGUCUGGUCCGGUUCUGACGCUGAGGCGCGAAAGCGUGGGGAGCAAACAGG
rnacentral:rRNA from 1 species